UCCAGACUCUCUCGUCCAGUCUUAAGCCACAUGACUGCUAGAAAAUACUACUCAUCUGGGUAAGCACAAGGAGAAAACUGCAAUAAAGAGUGGCUACGAAAGGAUUUUAUUCUGGAUGAUUUACAGAAAAUGAAGGAAGAAAGAGUCAUUGGAGCACUCUAUGUCCAGCCACCCAUGGAACAGAAGUUGAUAUGGAAAGGUGCCCUUUAAAAAGUAGACCUAGAGAAGCUCAAUCCUACAGUCCCAUUUCUGCCUGAAUGAAAUUUUGAGUUCAUGGGACAGAAAGAUAAAACCUUGUUCUACAUGUGGUAUGGAAACAACAGAACAUGGAAGAGUUUAGCUAUGUGGAGGAAAACUAUAUAUAUCUCAGGGAUGUGCAUGGAAGAAGAAAUAAUAAUAUGGCACACAUCACAGACCUGAAUAAUGAAGAGAAGGAAAAUAUCAUCAGCAAGGCAUACAAGAAAAGAACAAGCUGACUAUGUUAAAACACUUCUGGAGCUGAGCCAUGUAACAAACACGGGAAACAUUCUGAGAGAUAAAACCCUCCACAAAGCAUACUGAGACAAAGUGUUUGUUUAGGAGAUGAAGGAUUUUUUUGCAGUAUUGUUAAGGAAAUAAACAGAUUCCAGAGGUGUGUUCCUGCCCGGCCAAUCCCGAGGCUGUUGUGCAGCUCUGCCACCUCUCCAAGCCCAAUCACAGCUCUGAAAGGAAACUCACUUUGCUGUUUGUCAGCAGCGCUGAUGAUGAAUGGCUGCUUCAGGGGAAGAGAUCAAGCUGUGUGGAAGGGUAACUAGACUUCAUCUCUUGCUUCAGCUCUAUCUUCAUAGAAGAAAGCAAGCAGCGUGCAUUACAACCCCUGCUCAGUUCCAAGCACUGCUCCACCAGCACCACUGGACAAGGCUCUGCCUGGCUCCAAACUCACCUGAAGCAGCGAGCUCAAAAGCCUCUGUCCUCCAAAAGGCUGGAUCUUGAGCCAGAUGUGCAAACUGCUAGACUGCCAUUAACUGAAAACCACAUCUCAAAUUCUUCUACCCUAAGAAGGAAGAAAAGAAAUGACUAGAAGAAAUGGGAUUGUUAGAUAUUGGACGAUCUCCUCAUCCCAUGAAAGCCUAAUGCCAGAGGUUAAGUGUCUGCUUUCCUCUUCAGCUUAUAACGCAAUUCUUCUAAAAGUUAAAGCUCACAAACCAGCACUUGGACAGUGUAAACUGUAGGAGCCCAAAAAUCUUGUUACUCUUUCUUUACAUCCCUGCUAUUCUUGGGCUCUGUUUGGUCCAGGUGCAGGUCUCACUACUCACUCAAGCCUCUAUAAAUCACCCCUUUCCCAGCCGAGUCUAAUGACCCAGAAAGCCCAGCUGAGUAAGAUCUUAGGCCCACAGUGGAACAAACCACUGUGGGAUAAUUUAGUAUACAUAUAUUGUUUGGGCUGGGGAGAUUCCCAGAUUUUGAGCAAAGAGAAAUCAAGGACUAGCAGUGCAUCAUUACACAAGCACAGUCUCACUAGAUUCCACUGCUUUCCCUGGUUCCACACACUAGGUGUAAUAAUCCACAAUAAAGUACUGAAUGGAGUCCUUUCAAGGACACUGACAACUUAAAAGAAAA